AAAAAAACAAUCUGAAAAAAAAAGAAGAAGAUAAAGUCGUCAAAUUGGUAUA
rnacentral:sRNA from 1 species